GGAAGUGCUCCUUUCUUCCUUGAGUUUUUAUAUAUUUUCAAGAUUUGUAAAUGGAUAUAUACAACUUUGAUAAUUAGAAAGAAAAUUAAUAUUAUAAGCAAGAGAUUAAAAGCAUCCUAAGAAGGUCAAAUGGGCACUUUUCAGGAAUACAAAGAUGAGUAGCUUUAGAAUCCUUAUUUUCCAGAGACUGGAGAGCAGAGGACUGUUAUCUGUAGAAGACAGGUAUUUGACCAGAGCUGUGCUGCAGGAUGCAGGCAGACGGACAAGUUGACACCGAAGAGCCAAUGCACAGGCCACAAGAAAAACAUCCACAGUGAAGCUGCAGUGACAGCCUCUCCUUACUGGGCAAAGUCAGCUUACCUCCCACUCCCAUCGGUCCUACCGCCAGAACCAUUGCGGAAUCCUGAACUAUGAACCUCCGUGUUCACUUCUCUAGAGGAACUGCCUUAGCUGUCACAGGAAUGAGACCCCAAGUCAACCAGUUUGCACUAUGGGAUCCUGCCUGCUGGGCCAACUUGACUGGGAUUAAGGUUGACUGGGGAACCAAGGUCAUUGAGGUCUCUUAUGGCCCCAGGCUGGCAGAAGCUCCAUCUCAAUCCACACUUUCAUCAUCAUACAGGUAGGAAAUAGGGAAACGUGGAAAAUUGUGCCCCGGCUUUUAAAGUUUUGGGCCAGAAGUGACACGUCACUUUAUUCAUAUUUCAUUGGCCAAAGCAAGUCCCAUGGCCAAGCAUAAUUUCAAAAAAAGAGAAGAGUCUAAACCUGUUAUGUUUCCAAAGGGAAAUGAAC
rnacentral:lncRNA from 1 species